AGCGCACAGUGCCCGCUGCUCUGUGCAUUAUAUACAUCGCAGCUUUACUCCAGUAUUUAUAAUGAUGUGCUCAGCUUAGGUUGAGAUUGUUUUUUGAAUGAGGCCACACAUGACUUCCGGGAGGGAAUGCAUCUCGGUGCACAUCGGCCAGGCGGGCGUGCAGAUCGGCAACGCCUGCUGGGAGCUGUACUGCCUGGAG